AACGAACGCUGGCGGCAUGCCUAACACAUGCAAGUCGAACGAGACCUUCGGGUCUAGUGGCGCAAGGGUGCGUAACGCGUGGGAACCUGCCCUUAGGUUCGGAAUAACUCCCCGAAAGGGGUGCUAAUACCGGAUAAUGUCUUCGGACCAAAGAUUUAUCGCCUUUGGAUGGGCCCGCGUUGGAUUAGCUAGUUGGUAGGGUAAAAGCCUACCAAGGCGACGAUCCAUAGCUGGUCUGAGAGGAUGAUCAGCCACACUGGGACUGAGACACGGCCCAGACUCCUACGGGAGGCAGCAGUGGGGAAUAUUGGACAAUGAGCGAAAGCCUGAUCCAGCAAUGCCGCGUGAGUGAUGAAGGCCUUAGGUUUGUAAAGCUCUUUUACCCGGGAUGAUAAUGACAGUACCGGGAGAAUAAGCUCCGGCUAACUCCGU
rnacentral:rRNA from 1 species